GACGAACCUUCCAAACGUUAUUCGGAAUCACUGGGCUUAAAGGGUGCGUAGGCGGAGAGGCAAGUCAGAGGUGAAAGCCCACGGCUCAACCGUGGAAGUGACCCUGAAACGGCCUCUCUCGAGGGAGAUAGGGGCGUGCGGAACUCAGAGUGGAGCGGUGAAAUGCGUAGAUAUUCUGAGGAACACCGGUGGCGAAAGCGGCACGCUGGGCCUUUGCUGACGCUGAGGCACGAAAGCUAGGGGAGCAAACGGG
rnacentral:rRNA from 1 species